AUAUGUUCACCAUCAAAAACUUUCUAAUUGAAACGAGCAUCUUGUUUGAAUAUUCAUUGUAGUAGUAUAUACUGAAGAUAGAUACUCAUAGGACAAAGAAACCUUUAGUCAGAAUUUAUUCGAACAAUGAGAGAGAGGUAGCUCAAUUUUCUUACUAUUGUUUCGGAAAAGCAACUUCCCCCGAAUGGGCUUCCUUCGGUCGCAGGGGCGAUGGCGGAUUGUCGAAUCAAAACAUGCUAUCUGGGACCAUCCGUCGCCCGCCGCCCGAUAACAUUUGGUCGAUUUCAAUUUAAAACGAUCGUGGCGAGUUUAUUAGUAUCAAUUGGCGGUGAUUACUACAGCGCACGCUUUUUUAUGCUUCAGCAGAGGAACUGCACGCGCUGCGAGCAUUUCGUCGACGGAUGGUUCAGUCUUUUACCCGACACCACGGUUAUCUGAUGUCAGCCGGUCGCAUCGCAAAUCGGAUAUCGCAAGCAGCAAUCCCAUCAGAGUAAAUUGGUGCGGUCACGUUGAACAGAUCACAGUGCAAAACAAUACCAUUCUUACGCUGGUGUUGUUGCGUUUCUAACAGCUUCUACAAACAAUAUUCUAGCCAACUAUCCUUCGAUUUCUUCAAAACUACUGGACAAAGAACCGGUCAUCUGCUGCACUGGGCUUCCAACCGAAAUGGUGAAUUUGUGAUACUUGCUCACGAGGGUUUGGCCUGCUAAGGUUUAACACAUUUCCUGCCAAGGUUGUGCUUUUAUCGAGGUAUUUUUGCCCUAGAUCCAACCCGUCCGUGCGUGGGGUGGAAAAUCUGAACCGUAAGUGCAGCUAGUCAGCAGUGCGUAUCCCGCCGGACUCGGUCUGAUACGUUGCCAUGGCAACGAUGCUGAAAGCUUUCGGUCGCUUCUUUACGAAGCAUCCUUUGGCGGGAAAUGGACUCGUGUACGGUACACUGUAUGUCGGUGCAGAAUUUUCGCAACAAACAAUUACGCGAAAAUUCUUGACCGACCCUCCCCAGGCUAUCGAUCAACCCACUCUGGCACGAUACGCCGUCAUGGGCACGUUCAUCUAUUCGCCAAUACUCUACAACUGUUCCAACAUCAUUCAACCUGCAUGCAUGUCCACCGAUCAUUACGUGCCGCCACUGACUAAUCAAUUGGUACGAAACGAACAAAAGAUUUCGAAUGCAAACCAUCGACACACGCAAUCACGUUUUCAUUAAGCCAUCGCUUGUCAAUCAUUUCCGCACAAACGAGGAUCAAGGAUAUCGCAGAACUUUACCCGACGAAGGUACAAAUGGUUGGAUAAAACCUUCCCCGGCACUGCCAAACGAAUCAUCGUGAAGAAACUACUGCUGGAUCAGUUUGUGUUAACUCCACCACUGCUAGUUAUAUUCUUUACCGGAAUGUCCCUAAUGGAACAACAAUCGUCAAUCACCGAAGAGUGCCGUCAAAAGUUUGUGCCCACUUUCGCGCGAUCUUGCCUGUUCUGGAUUCCUGCGCAAACACUCAACUUUGUCCUCGUGCCUCCAAAGUUUCGAGUCGUCUAUGUCGGUUCCUGUGCCUUUGCCUGGGUGAACAUUUUGUGCUGGGUUAAACGCCAGAAAAUGUUAGGCUCGAACUAGCCAGUUCUGCCAGUUCUUGUCACUACGUUACUCUAGCAUCUUAUAACGAUUACGAGCUCAUUGUUAAAAGCAAGACACAGCGUUAGAAUGUUGGCGCUUAGCUAGGAAAACCAAAGUCAGACACGUUUCAGUCAAUCAAUCUCGUAGAAUACGGCCACACAGGGCAUGCAUUUUAUGCUGUUAAAAUAAUAACAUAAGUUACCGCGUAAACGAUGGAACUAUAUUCAUGGCCGUUCUUUUUUCAAUUAGAUACAAUAAAGUCAUCGACAGAUCAAGUAAUUGCCGGCAUGAAUUACAAACCUAACAGGCAAA